ACGAAGGGGGCUAGCGUUGUUCGGAAUUACUGGGCGUAAAGCGCACGUAGGCGGAUUGGCAAGUCAGGGGUGAAAUCCCGGGGCUCAACCUCGGAACUGCCUUUGAUACUGCCAGUCUAGAGUCCGGAAGAGGUGGGUGGAAUUCCUAGUGUAGAGGUGAAAUUCGCAGAUAUUAGGAAGAACACCGGUGGCGAAGGCGGCCCACUGGUCCGGUACUGACGCUGAGGUGCGAAAGCGUGGGGAGCAAACAGGAUUAGAUACCCCGGUAGUCCACGCCGUAAACGAUGGAUGCUAGCCGUCGGCAAGCUUGCUUGUCGGUGGCGCAGCUAACACUUUAAGCAUCCCGCCUGGGGAGUACGGCUGCAAGCUUA
rnacentral:rRNA from 1 species